AUUGAACGCUGGCGGCAUGCUUUACACAUGCAAGUCGAACGGUAACAGGGUGCUUGCACCGCUGACGAGUGGCGAACGGGUGAGUAAUGCGUCGGAACGUGCCGAGUAGUGGGGGAUAACGCAGCGAAAGUUGUGCUAAUACCGCAUACGUACUGAGGUAGAAAGUGGGGGACCUUCGGGCCUCACGCUAUUCGAGCGGCCGACGUCUGAUUAGCUAGUAGGUGAGGUAAAGGCUCACCUAGGCGACGAUCAGUAGCGGGUCUGAGAGGAUGAUCCGCCACACGGGGACUGAGACACGGCCCAGACUCCUACGGGGGGCAGCAGUGGGGAAUUUUGGACAAUGGGCGAAAGCCCGAUCCAGCCAUUCCGCAUGUCUGAAGAAGGCCUUCGGGUUGUAAAGGACUUUUGUCAGGGAGGAAAUCCCUAGUGCUAAUAACACUGGGGGAUGACAGUACCUGAAGAAUAAGCACCGGCUAACUACGUGCCAGCCGCCGCCGUAA
rnacentral:rRNA from 1 species